UGAACUUUCACAGCAGUUUCACAUCCUCUCCUGGAAACUGUUUCCAACUCCACACCAAACUUGCCCUCGGGGAACGCAAGGAUGCCUCUGAAGGUGUGAGAGGAAGACAGAGCCACUUAGCUAAGCAGAUGGCCAUCUGCUCCUCCCUGCCUCCUGGCCAGGGUCACCUGUAGGCCACAGCCCACCUUUCUCCCAAGGCAGGGAGGGAGGCUGGGACUUCAGAUCCCCACUCCCAGUUCUGCUAGGUCAGCAGGAGAGGCCCAGGGUGGCGAGACAGAGGCCCUUUCCCAGCAUACCACCCAUGACCCAGGGUGACUCAGGACUCCCGACGCUGGAAGCCGCUCUGCGUCUCGUGGACAUAUUUGGUGGACGUGCAUGAGUGUUCAGAGGGCUGACGCCGUGAGAGGAAGCCCCUCGGUGAUGCACCUCAGGGUGGCCAACCCCGGGCUCUAACAUCUAAGUAAAAUCGCCAGCCCUUACUCCUCUAAAGCCCUGGACCUGUGGCCCCUCCAUCAUUUGUAAAAUCAGAAACUUCACAGCGACCUCUUGCUCCGAGUCAUUAAAUGAUGACUGACACAGUUGAA